GUGCUCAUUUUAGCGGCACAUAUACCAGAAUUGGAAUGAUACAAGAUUAGCAUGAUCCCUGUGCAAGGAUGACAUACAAAUCUGUGAAGUGCUCCAUAAUUUU
ensembl:snRNA U6 U6 spliceosomal RNA